UGAAGUCCUGUAUUUAUCCAGUCUAGGUACUGGACAGGCUGCCACAGUGUGAGCUUCCUAAACUACUACCCUGGUAAUCUCCACCUUGACUUGGAGGAACCAUCCUCUCUAGGGGUGUAAAGGUAGUUCA
rnacentral:sRNA from 1 species